UCCUCGUUUAAGCGAGGCAGUCUGUCCAGAGUGCUCCCGACUCUCGUCGGGAUAGCAACAGGACACAAGGGUUGCGCUCGUUGCGGGACUUAACCCAACAUCUCACGACACGAGCUGACGACAGCCAUGCAGCACCUGUGUUCCGAUUCCCUUUCGGGCACACCCAGCUCUCACCAGGCUUCCGGACAUGUCAAGGGUAGGUAAGGUUGUUCGCGUUGCAUCGAAUUAAUCCACAUCAUCCACCGCUUGUGCGGGUCCCCGUCAAUUCCUUUGAGUUUUAAUCUUGCGACCGUACUCCCCAGGCGGUCGACUUCACGCGUUAGCUGCGGUACUAAGGAAGUCUCCUUCCCCAACACCUAGUCGACAUCGUUUAGGGCGUGGACUAC
rnacentral:misc_RNA from 1 species